rnacentral:rRNA from 1 species
AGGAUGAACGCUGGCGGCGUGCCUAACACAUGCAAGUCGAACGUCCUGUCUCGCAAGAGGCAGGGAGUGGCGGACGGGUGAGUACCACGUGGGUCAUCUACCGUGAGGUGAGGAAUACCGGCGAGAAAUCGCCGACAAGACCGCAUAGGCUCGAUGCAAGUCGAGCAAAGCUCUUUCGAGAGAGGGAGCGCCACACGAGGAGCCUGCGCCCGAUUAGCUAGCUGGUGGAGUAACGGUUCACCAGGGCGACGAUCGGUAGCUGGUCUGAGAGGACGAUCAGCCACACUGGGAUUGAGAACGGCCCAGACUCCUACGGGGGGCAGCAGUGAGGAAUUUUCGUCAAUGGGGGCAACCCUGAACGAGCAACGCCGCGUGCAGGAAGAAGGUUUUCGGAUCGUAAACUGCUUUUCUCGGGGAAGAGAAUGGACGGUACCCGAGGAAUCAGCCCGGCUAACUACGCGCCAGCAGCCGCGGU